rnacentral:rRNA from 1 species
UGGCUCAGGACGAACGCUGGCGGCGUGCUUAACACAUGCAAGUCGAACGAUGAUGCCCAGCUUGCUGGGUGGAUUAGUGGCGAACGGGUGAGUAACACGUGAGUAACCUGCCCCUGACUCUGGGAUAAGCGUUGGAAACGACGUCUAAUACUGGAUAUGAUCACCGGCCGCAUGGUCUGGUGGUGGAAAGAUUUUUUGGUUGGGGAUGGACUCGCGGCCUAUCAGCUUGUUGGUGAGGUAAUGGCUCACCAAGGCGACGACGGGUAGCCGGCCUGAGAGGGUGACCGGCCACACUGGGACUGAGACACGGCCCAGACUCCUACGGGAGGCAGCAGUGGGGAAUAUUGCACAAUGGGCGAAAGCCUGAUGCAGCAACGCCGCGUGAGGGAUGACGGCCUUCGGGUUGUAAACCUCUUUUAGUAGGGAAGAAGCGAAAGUGACGGUACCUGCAGAAAAAGCACCGGCUAACUACGUGCCAGCAGCCGCGGUAAUACGUAGGGUGCAAGCGUUGUCCGGAAUUAUUGGGCGUAAAGAGCUCGUAGGCGGUUUGUCGCGUCUGCUGUGAAAUCCCGAGGCUCAACCUCGGGCUUGCAGUGGGUACGGGCAGACUAGAGUGCGGUAGGGGAGAUUGGAAUUCCUGGUGUAGCGGUGGAAUGCGCAGAUAUCAGGAGGA